UACAGAGGUCUCAAGCGUUGUUCGGAUUCAUUGGGCGUAAAGGGUGCGUAGGCGGCGCGGUAAGUCGGGUGUGAAAUCUCGGAGCUUAACUUCGAAACUGCAUUCGAUACUGCCGUGCUUGAGGACUGGAGAGGAGACUGGAAUUUACGGUGUAGCGGUGAAAUGCGUAGAUAUCGUAAGGAAGACCAGUGGCGAAGGCGGGUC
rnacentral:rRNA from 1 species